UUAGCUCAACCUUGUGGACAUUG
rnacentral:piRNA from 1 species